GACGAACGCUGGCGGCGUGCUUAACACAUGCAAGUCGAACGAAGUGGCGAACGGGUGAGUAACGCGUAAUCAACCUGCCCUUCAGAGGGGGACAACAGUUGGAAACGACUGCUAAUACCGCAUACUGAAGGAGGGGAUUGCGUCUGAUUAGCUAGUUGGUGGGGUAAAGGCCUACCAAGGCGACGAUCCGUAACUGGUCUGAGAGGAUGAUCAGUCACACUGGAACUGAGACACGGUCCAGACUCCUACGGGAGGCAGCAGUGGGGAAUAUUGGACAAUGGGCGAAAGCCUGACGGAGCAACGCCGCGUGAGUGAUGACGGCCUUCGGGUUGUAAAGCUCUGUUAAUCGGGACGCGGUACCGGAAUAGAAAGCCACGGCUAACUACGUGCCAGCAGCCGCGGUAAUAC
rnacentral:rRNA from 1 species